ensembl:lncRNA
AUAUGUUAGGCUAUGGUCUCUCUAUUUUUGGUAAUUCUACGCCGGUGGAAACCCAAACAAAACACACAAUAAGAGGCUCUAAUGCCUGCGUCUCAAUCUCACGGCUCAUGUCACCCCUACUUAGUUAGCACCUCAUACUGCAGUGCACCAAAAGCAGCCUCAUGAGCGCUGGGAAGGACAAGCCCAGAGCCCAGUGACAGUGCAGGAGAUGACAAGCUGUCCUGUGCCAGAUGUUCUGUUGACCCACUGUGAGAGGCAUCAUUUCAGAAACACCAGGAAGACCGAAACUCAUCGCAGGGAUCAAGCAGGGCUCGUGAUCUUCACCAGCAGCUCCCUCACAAGAGGGAUAAACCCAGCAUUUUAUGAACAUUGUGAUGAAGACCUUUGCUUUGUGUAAUGUAAA